rnacentral:rRNA from 1 species
UACAGAGGUCUCAAGCGUUGUUCGGAUUCAUUGGGCGUAAAGGGUGCGUAGGCGGCGCGGUAAGUCGGGUGUGAAAUUUCGAGGCUUAACUUCGAAACUGCAUUCGAUACUGCCGUGACUCGAGUCCGGUAGGGGAGUGUGGAAUUCCCGGUGUAGCGGUGAAAUGCGCAGAUAUCGGGAGGAACACCCGUGGCGAAGGCGGCUCUCUGGGACGGUACUGACGCUGAGACGCGAAAGCGUGGGGAGCGAACAGG